AUACGUAGGUGACAAGCGUUAUCCGGAUUUACUGGGCGUAAAGGGCGUGUAGGCGGUCUUGCAAGUCAGAAGUGAAAUUCCUGAGCUCAACUCGGGCGCUGCUUCUGAAACUGCAGGACUUGAGUGCUGGAGGGGAUAGCGGAAUUCCUAGUGGAGCGGUAAAAUGCGCAGAUAUUAGGAAGAACACCGGUGGCGAAGGCGGCUAUCUGGACAGUAACUGACGCUGAGGCGCGAAAGCGUGGGGAGCAAACAGGAUGAGAUACCCUGUUAGUCCACGCCGUAAACGAUGAAUACUAGGUGUAGGGGGUAUCGACUCCCUCUGUGCCGCAGUUAACACAAUAAGUAUUCCGCCUGGGGAGUACGGCCGCAAGGUUGAAACUCAAAUGAAUUGACGGGG
rnacentral:rRNA from 1 species